rnacentral:rRNA from 1 species
AACGAACGCUGGCGGCAUGCCUAACACAUGCAAGUCGAACGAGACCUUCGGGUCUAGUGGCGCACGGGUGCGUAACGCGUGGGAAUCUGCCCUUGGGUUCGGAAUAACUCGCCGAAAGGCGUGCUAAUACCGGAUGAUGUCGUAAGACCAAAGAUUUAUCGCCCAGGGAGGAGCCCGCGUAAGAUUAGGUAGUUGGUGAGGUAAAGGCUCACCAAGCGGACGAUCUUUGGCUUGUCUGAGAGGAUGAUCAGCCAAACUGGGACUGAGACGCGGCACAGACACCAACAGGAGACAGUAGUGGGGAAUAUAGGACAAUGGGGGAAAGCCUGAACCAGCAAUGCAGCGUGAGUUAUGAAAGCAUUAGGGUUGUAAAGCUUUUUUACCCAGGAUGAUAAUGACAGUACCCGGAGAAUAAGCUCCGGCUAACUCCGUGCCAGCAGCCGCAGUAA